rnacentral:rRNA from 1 species
GACGAGUCCGGCAAACGUUAUUCGGAAUUACUGGGCUUAAAGCGUGCGUAGGUGGUUCGCAGGGUUGGGAGUGAAAUCCCACGGCCUAACCGUGGAAUUGCUCUCAAAACCGGCGGACUUGAGGAGGUUAGAGGCGAGCGGAACUACGGGUGGAGCGGUGAAAUGCGUUGAUAUCCGUAGGAACACCGGUGGCGAAGGCGGCUCGCUGGGGCCUUUCUGACACUGAGGCACGAAAGCUAGGGUAGCGAACGGG